rnacentral:rRNA from 1 species
AACGCUGGCGGCAGGCCUAACACAUGCAAGUCGAGCGGUAACAGAAAGUAGCUUGCUACUUUGCUGACGAGCGGCGGACGGGUGAGUAAUGCUUGGGAACAUGCCUUGAGGUGGGGGACAACAGUUGGAAACGACUGCUAAUACCGCAUAAUGUCUACGGACCAAAGGGGGCUUCGGCUCUCGCCUUUAGAUUGGCCCAAGUGGGAUUAGCUAGUUGGUGAGGUAAUGGCUCACCAAGGCGACGAUCCCUAGCUGGUUUGAGAGGAUGAUCAGCCACACUGGGACUGAGACACGGCCCAGACUCCUACGGGAGGCAGCAGUGGGGAAUAUUGCACAAUGGGCGCAAGCCUGAUGCAGCCAUGCCGCGUGUGUGAAGAAGGCCUUCGGGUUGUAAAGCACUUUCAGUCAGGAGGAAAGGGAUGUAGUUAAUACCUGCACCCUGUGACGUUACUGACAGAAGAAGCACCGGCUAACUCC